AUUGAACGCUGGCGGCAUGCCUUACACAUGCAAGUCGAACGGUAACAGGUCUUCGGAUGCUGACGAGUGGCGAACGGGUGAGUAAUACAUCGGAACGUGCCUAGUAGUGGGGGAUAACUACUCGAAAGAGUGGCUAAUACCGCAUGAGAUCUACGGAUGAAAGCAGGGGAGCGCAAGACCUGGUGCUACUAGAGCGGCCGAUGGCAGAUUAGGUAGUUGGUGGGAUAAAAGCUUACCAAGCCGACGAUCUGUAGCUGGUCUGAGAGGACGAUCAGCCACACUGGGACUGAGACACGGCCCAGACUCCUACGGGAGGCAGCAGUGGGGAAUUUUGGACAAUGGGCGCAAGCCUGAUCCAGCAAUGCCGCGUGCAGGAUGAAGGCCUUCGGGUUGUAAACUGCUUUUGUACGGAACGAAAAGCCCUGGGUUAAUACCCUGGGGUCAUGACGGUACCGUAAGAAUAAGCACCGGCUAACUACGUGCCAGCCGCCGCAGUAAAAC
rnacentral:rRNA from 1 species